GCCAGGAGAAAUGUCCAGCUCAAGUGUGAUCACGAGCUCGGAGACGCAUACUGAGUGAGCACCUGCUGCGGCGUGUCUAUCAGUUUGCCAGACUCACAUGCCUCAAGUCAACCUAGGAUGCUGAUAUUGCAGGCCCUUCCUGCCUCCCGUAGGUGCAUGUGGCCAAAGAGAACAGCGCUCUUUGCUGGCGUGAAGAUGUUGGGGUCCAGGACAUGCCUGUGGACAGCAAGCAGCUGGCUCCCCGGAGCUCUCAGAGAGGACUGUUUCUGCCAGCAUGACCUCUGCCCAAGAGUAGUCGGGGCCGGGAGAGAACCAAGGCAAGACAGAAGACUGCUUCAGGCUAGAUGGCUCUGCUUGACUUUCUGGGCUUACGCUGCAAAGCUGAACUGUGGUGGGGUACCUGGGAUCCAUGCUCAUCUCCUGGAUCAGAGGCACAGCGGUGCCCACUGACCAUACAGAAUCCUGCCCGCGCCUCCUGCCUCACACCUGACCGGCCAUUCUGCCCUCUGAGCACACCUGCUUUUUCUGAGCACAUACUGCUGUCCCUCGGAUAGAGAAAGCUCUUCCCAGCACCCAGAACUACCUUUCACCUCCAGGACCUGGUUUGACGCUCCCUGUGUGUCCUCGGACCUCAGCCAGGGCUUUGUCUCUUCCAGGGGCCCUCAAGCCCAGCUAGGUGCUGCUGCUGCUGCUGCUGCUGCUGCUGCUGCUGCUGCUGCUGCUGCUGCCGAGAAAGAAAGCCCUCACCAGACUCCCACACACCCCUGAGUCCCUGGCUUUUAGAGCUAUGAGCGUUGAGCCGCUUCAGUCCUGCUUGUGAAAGACCAAAUCUCGGGAACGGUGCUGUAAGGACACGGAACAGAGGGGCCCAGAGGAACUCCUGACUAGCCGUCUGAAGAAUGGCAGCUGCCCUGUGUUCCACGCGCACCGCCCCUUACCGUCAUCAUUUUCUCCCAGCAGCCAUCCCUACGGUUAUGAAGUGGCGCCUGACUGUAGAUUUAGAAGGCAGUGCCCUGUCUUUCCUGCCCCCACCCCAGCUCAGACUGUGUUGACCUUACUCUCCUGCUCCCCCACCCCCUGCCCAAGUCUGUGCUCUUGCGGCCCUUGCAGCUGAACUUGGCUGGAGAAACCCCCACCUGCACCUGCUGUUCCAACCUCCCCCCCCCCAAACUCUGGCAUCCCAUCCUAGAUGCCCUUUCUGUGAGUGCCCCUAGCAGGAUCCCUCUCCAGGCAUUGCUUCCCCACCAGGGUUCCAAACCCAUUGUCUCUCCUGUCGACAGGUCUCCAUAGACCACCAGCCGUGGGACUCCAGACAGAGCAAGCUCCUCACAGAGUGGGAGUCAGGCUAGCUUCUAUACUGCAUUCUAUGGCCAGCACACAGUUCCUGGACCCUCCCUCCUGGCCCUCCUCCCUUGGUGGACCUAAGACUCCAGUCUGGACCUCUAUCUCAUGAGAACCAUCCACACUGGUUUUUUAGACAGGGGUCUCUCAUUGAGACCCAAGGCUCAUUUAAGCUAGGCUGGAUGACUGAUGAGCUGUAAGGAUCCUCCUGUCUCUGCCUCCCUUGUGCUGGCAUUAGAAGUAUGCACCACCACACCCAUUUUUUAAAAUGGAUGCUAGCCAGACGAU